GUUCUCGUCCUCAGUGUGCUGCUGCUUGUGUCACCUGCGUGUCCUCCUCCCUCCAGGCUAACUUAUUCUACUUUCUUCUCUAAAAAAAACAGAUUUAAACGCAAAGUUGAAAAGAGGCGUUGUCCAAGAAAAUGCAGGAAAAAAGUCCCUGCGAAGGGAGGCAACACUUCAACAUGUUGAGCCAACUCCGGGACCAGCAGUCACAACUGCACGUCGAGUACAAGCAGGCAAGUUGGAUGCCACAGCUACAGUACAUCAUCUACCAACAUCACACACACAAUACCUGAUGUCUUCCAAAAGCAGCUGCUUAUGCUCCUUUGUGAAAAAUGGAAAAAGACCUCACUGCAAGAUUGCAGGUGUUCUCUGAUAUGUGUAAGACUAGACCUCUCAUAUAUCAUUAUUAUUGUAUACUAAGACAAAAAGUACAGUUACAUCUCAUGGCCAUCAUGUGUUACCUUCCACAUGUUUACAUGUAUAUGUAUUUGUUAUUUAGUU